CCUGGACUUCUCUUUGUUGUCUAUCACGUCGCUCCUCCGCCUCAUCCACCAUCAUCAUCACCGUUGCCUUCGCCAUCAUCUGCUUGCAAUCUCCACGCCACCGCUCACCUGAGGCGCUCACUCCUCCACGUCGCUCCCCUUCGACGCUCACACUUCCAGUCUCUCCCCUCAGGUUAAGAAAAUAUAUGUUGCCCAUGAAGAUGUACAAAGUUUAUGCUAUCUCAUGCUGGAUUGGUGAUAAUAUUAACCGGAAGUGUAUAUGAUUUUUCCAAACUCAAAAGAUCUUGAAUGCUUCUAAAAGACUGCAAAGCAACUUUCACAAGAACUGAAUGAGAAACAUAAACAAUUGGAGAUGUUUAAAGAUAUGUCGAGAUUAUUUUAUUGAAGGGGCUGGCUUGGAAGCAAAAAAUAAAGUUUCCAUCUUACAAAUGAUGGUGCUAUAAUUCUCAACAUAUUAGAUGUUGAUCAUCCUGCUUCCAAGGUUCUUGUUAAAUUGGUUGAGCUUGAAGAUAGAGAAACAAGAGAUGUACUAUUAUAUAGUUACUCACGGUAUUGUUCCGUAUAUCAUACCUCUUUAUAUUGGCAAAUGUAUUUUAAUCCUGAUAUAAAAUGCUUAUUAAUCUAUUUUUUGAUAAUUUUUAGAGAGUAAAUUAUCUUGUCAAAAACAAGACUCACCCACAUCUGUCAUGAGUGGAUACAAAGUGAGUGUUAUGUUAUCAAGUCUUG